rnacentral:SRP_RNA from 1 species
GCCAGUCAUGGUGGUGCAUGCCUGUAGUCUUAGCUACUUGGGAGGCUGAGGUGGGAGGAUCGCUUGAGCCCAGGAGUUCAAGGUUGCAGUGAGCUGUAAUUGUGCCACUGCACUCCAACCUGGGUGACAGAGUGAGAGCCCAUCUCUU